UAGCCGUUAGUCGACACUACAAGUUUAAACUAGUAUAUUUGUUGUAGUGAUAGGAAUAUUAGCUGUAUUACUUAUUAGCUCUUAGUAUUUCCCUUCGAUGGGGAGGGAGCCGAGAAUUAAUAUCGCUUCAAAGACGUAAUCACAAAGCCAAGAAGGGAGUUCCUGGUUCUUGUGCUUCGCUGCGUAUAUUAUACAUUGUAUUUUGGAGAUGAGCCACCCAAUCUUUCACCUAUCCUUAUAUCGUGAGGAUGUUACAAUGAGCAAAUCCGAGGGACUCAAUCUUGCAUGAAAAUUUCUCCAGCCUUCUUCCUCCACCAUCCUAAGGAUCGAGGAUCUUCCCGGGACUUAUUUGUAACAAUAGUCUGUACCUCAUUCAUUUUUGACGUGGGUCUGUGAAUGGGUUCUUCAAUAUAAGCCUUGUGAUUGAUGAAGGAUCCUUCUCUUCAAGACCAAAACUAACAUUUGAAGCUUACUUUAUCAUUUUGUUAGGAAUGAGUUCUAAGGCAAUGAAUGCAGAGAUCAGAGGGCCGAGAUAGUUACUUUUGAAAUCUCGCCCAGAGAACAUCCGCCGUGUUCUAUGGGAUAGAAAGAAGUUAUUCAACACGGGGCUCCCGUCUGAUAUAUAUUGGCCUGCAGAAGUAAUUCCUGCAUUACUGUUCAGUCGAGGAAUAAAAUUAAGUGGUCCGUUUGAACAUAGUAAAGGAAGGGCAUUCUCAAUGAUAGUGCUCCAUACUGAGAACAUAUUCCUCCAAUGAUGACCCGAUCUUUUCACCACUCCAAAUAUUUCAGAUGGACCCAUACAGAAACCAAUCCGUUGUAAGAAUUUUGUUUUAAUUUCCCCAAUGCUUUUGAGUAAUUUUAACACCGAGAGAUUCAGCGCCUUUUACGUACCUUCUAUGUGCAUAGAACCAAGAUCCCAGUGAGUUGUUGGAGCAUUAAUCUUCGACCUUUAAACGUAUGCUAUUGCAUGCCCCCUUACAAAAUCUUGCCUUAACUUAUAUAUGCUCUCACAUAUUCUCUGGAAAAGGCGCGUAUCUUAGCAGAUGGAAUAUUUUUGGAAGGAUAUUUAUAUCCCAGGCCUUCAAUUUUUCAUAUCUACAUCGAACUGCAGCUAGAAACUUCGAUCCCUAGAAGUGAGAAAUACUCAACAAGUCAUAACUCGCUAAGACCAUCAUAUGUCUUAACAUAGUCGUCACAGUUGGAUAAGAUCCUAGUUUUCUAUGUUGAUGGAGAUACCCGAUUUUUUUUUUGAAAUACUGAAGCAGUUAAAUGGCGUGGGAGAUGGAAUAUAUCUGUUUUUCUUGUGUUCCUGUUAGAAAUAAAACCUCUAAGGCUGGAGUUGUUGUUGAUAAUCUCGUUCAAUCCAUUCAUUGCGAUUAAAAAGAGGGAUGACGAUAGCAAAUCUCCUUGCCCGAACUCCACACUGAAAGCAAAACUUAAAAUAAGCACCGGGAAUGUCAAUGCUAGAUGAGUUCUUAUGGAUAGCCAAGCCCAUGUUAACAAACCCAUCCGGGAGCCCUUACCUAUAUAGCUGUUCCUUUCUGAUCUGUUAAUAUAAUGUAUGGAGAAUCCGGGAAAGUCUUUGAUUCAAUAUUCCAGACUAAAGUAAAGGAUUCAGUGCUCAUGAAGUUAGGAACAAAACCUUUCUUGAAUAUUUCCUUAAACACUUCUUUGAGGAUUGGAGAAAGUAAACUUUUAAAUCUUUUGAAAAAUUCAAAAGGCAACUCUGAUGGUCCAGUGCUUUUAAAUUGUUUAUCAUAAUCUUGGAUGAACUUCUUAAUUUCUUUUUCAGUGAUGGUUCUUCCAGGAUUCCAAAUUUGAAAUAACGAAGGUUUCCAUUUUUUUGGAUCUUUCAAAAUCCUCCAGUUCAAACGGAAGUAACAUAGUCUGUUCGACUUCUAGACCAAACAUCUAUAUAAUUUGGAAUAAAAUCUACGGAAAUUUUAUCAGGGUCCUCCGAUAUUUCGCCUGAGAUAUCUCGUUACAAGUUCCUUCUUCUUCCAGGAGAGACACAUUCUGUUUCCAGAAGGAUCUUCGAGGCUACGAUGAAUUAUUGAAUGCUGCAAAAACUGGAGUUUGACCAGAAAUGUACGGUGGGAACACCAUUACUUCUGCAAAAAAAAUUGCCAAUCUACUUGAAGACUGGACAUAAUCAAAUCGACUUUGUAUUUUGUUACCAGAUCUUGUAAUCCCUGUAAAAGUCAUUUUUGGUAAUAGAUCAUCAAACACAAGCCCCAGGAACUCCCAUAGACAGAAGUGUCAUGUGACGGGUAAUGUUGGGGUCACCCACAAUUACAUACUCAUGCUCAGAUUUCGGGUCAGACUUUUUCAUUGUUAGGGAACCAAAGCUUGGAUUUAAAGUUUGGACCAUAUAACGAAUAUAGUGCGGUGUUUUUUUCGAAGAAAAUCCAUCUCUAUUACUAAAUAAUUCCCUUCAGGAUCUGACUCUCUCAUUUGAGGACUAAGUGACUUUCUUAUAAGAACAAUGAUUCCUCCCGAAGGAUGUUUUUUUUUUUGGAACCUACGUCUCGGACAUUACUUAUGCAUUACUUUUAGUCACUACUUUAUAUAUUGCAAAUAAGUGAGAGGUCAUAGCCCCCACUCCAGGUGCCCCGGGGACGGUUGUAAUGGUAACUGAGGAAAGUGUCUAGGUGGAGUCGCUGUAAUUCUUAAAUAAAGCCCUACCUGAGACUAUUUGUUGGUGUAUAGUCAAUUUAGAAAUAUGAAUAAACACUAAAUGAAAAAUUUAUAUUGAACGGAACAAACUCUGUAGUGAAUUGUUCCACUCUCCUACAUAUUUGAAAUAUACAUUUUGUCACCUG
rnacentral:lncRNA from 1 species